UCAGGAUGAACGCUGGCGGCGUGCUUAACACAUGCAAGUCGAACGAAGCCCUCGGGCUUAGUGGCGGACGGGUGAGUAACGCGUGAGAAUCUACCUUCUAGAUGGGGACAACCGUUGGAAACGACAGCUAAUCCCCAAUAAGCCGAGAGGUGAAACGGGUAUCCGCUAGAAGAGGAGCUCGCGUCCGAUUAGUUAGUUGGUGGGGUAAAAGCCUACCAAGGCAGCGAUCGGUAGCUGGUCUGAGAGGAUGAGCAGCCACACUGGGACUGAGACACGGCCCAGACUCCUACGGGAGGCAGCAGUGGGGAAUUUUCCGCAAUGGGCGAAAGCCUGACGGAGCAACGCCGCGUGUGGGAAGAAGGCUCUUGGGCUGUCAACCACUUUUCUCAGGGAAGAAGACCUGACGGUACCUGAGGAAUCAGCCUCGGCCAACUCCGUGCCAGCAGCCGCGGUAAUACGGAGGAGGCAAGCGUUAUCCGGAAUUAUUGGGCGUAAAGCGUCCGCAGGGGGCGCAUCAAGUCUGCUGUUAAAGGUCGGAGCUAAACUCCGGUAGAAGCAGUUGGAA
rnacentral:rRNA from 1 species